AGUGAACGCUGGCGGUAGGCCUAACACAUGCAAGUCGAACGGCAGCACAGUAAGAGCUUGCUCUUACGGGUGGCGAGUGGCGGACGGGUGAGGAAUACAUCGGAAUCUACUUUUUCGUGGGGGAUAACGUAGGGAAACUUACGCUAAUACCGCAUACGACCUGCGGGUGAAAGCAGGGGAUCUUCGGACCUUGCGCGAUUGAAUGAGCCGAUGUCGGAUUAGCUAGUUGGCGGGGUAAAGGCCCACCAAGGCGACGAUCCGUAGCUGGUCUGAGAGGAUGAUCAGCCACACUGGAACUGAGACACGGUCCAGACUCCUACGGGAGGCAGCAGUGGGGAAUAUUGGACAAUGGGCGCAAGCCUGAUCCAGCCAUACCGCGUGGGUGAAGAAGGCCUUCGGGUUGUAAAGCCCUUUUGUUGGGAAAGAAAAGCAGCAGGUUAAAACCCCGCUGUUCUGACGGUACCCAAAGAAUAAGCACCGGCUAACUUCGUG
rnacentral:rRNA from 1 species